AAGUUUUUUAUUUUUUAUUUUUAAGAUAAUAAGGUAAUCUGACGUAACGAACGAAUCAAAACGAACGAAUCAAAUAAACGAAUCGUUAUAGUGAACUGAACUGAAAGAACUAGUUCCCGGAGAAGAAUCAUUUUGCCCAUCCCUAGUGGGCAGAUAAGGGAGAGGGAGGUGGGGGCUGUUGGAAAAUUUCCAAGGCCUUGGGAAAGGUGGGGGUUUUACCAGCGGGGACUGAAGGACUGAAGAGGAAUAGAUUUACUUAUGUCAGUGUUACUCAUGUAUCAGGUUUAGGCAUGUAUCAGUUAAAUAUCAUAAAAUCAUGUAUCAUGUUUUAGUAUCAUCAUAUAACAAUCAUUUUCUUUGCUUCUUUGUUUUAGUAUCAUCAUGAAUAUAUCUCUUUCUUUAAUAUCUAUCAUUCACUAUAAGAUUUAUCAUGUUGUUUAGACAUGAUCGGUUAUGGAAGAAAGCACCUAGAAAGAUUACAGCACUUGUGGGUGAAAUGAUGUUGUCAUACGCUUAUGACAUGUUGUAUUGUUUAUCUUACACUUAUGAUAUCUUGUAUUGUUGUAUUGUUUAUCUUACACUUAUGAUAUGUUGUAUUAUGGUAUUGUUUAUCAUUAUAUGUUGUAUUUUACUUAUUAGUAUAAUUUGUGGAACAAGUAACAACAAUCUGAAGGCGUACGUGCCUGAGAGUAGGCCUACGUGCCUGAGAGAAUCUUUGCCAUGGCGCGGUGGAAAAAUACCAGGUCAGAGUGACCUGAUGGCCAGCUGCAUGGGUAAGAGAGAGGGCGGGGCUGACAGUGAAAGUUUUAGAUAAAAGGCGCUGUAGGAAGCAGAGAGAUAGAGACAUCGUCCCGACGGGGGCUCCAUGCGGGGCGGCCCUGGGCCCUUUGCGAUCUCCGGACUUUCGGACUUAGAGAGAUUAGAACAUCCGAUCUCCGGACUUUCGGACUUAGAAAAAUUAGGACAUCCUCUCUCCAACACGCUACAGAGAUGCGUGUCGUAGCCCACUGGGGCAAAGAAGACUACUGGCUGUGGGACCAUUUGAUGAGAAUAUCCUGGCUGUGGGACCAUUUGAUGAGACCGACCCUCCGUGCCCCAGGAGAGAUAGAGCUUCCGUCGACACCGGGGAAGCGUAGUGUAGAGAGGAGAGAUAGGGAUUCCCUCUCUUUUCCUCUGUCAAAACCGGCGUGGAACACCAGCGCUGCUCACUUCUCGACGACACGGAGCGGCCCGUAUCAGAUAGGGGCCAUCGGAGCAACAUUCCAGGGCAGCUCACCCUCCCCAAUCUGAAUCAGUGCGGGGGCCGACGGCAGGGGAACAACGGCCUUUCUCUUCACACAGCUGAGGGGAGUGCUGGACGUAGUGUAGAGAGUUAAUGAGUGCAUCAAGAAAUGGAAGGGUCUCAGGGACACCUACAGGAAGAAUAGGAAAAAGGAAAAGGAAAGGAGGAAGAGUGGUGCAGGGGCAGGUGGAGGGAAGCCAUGGAAGUAUGCCCGCAUAAUGGCCUUCAUAGAUCCAUUCAUGGAAGACCGCCAUAGCCAGACCAACAUGGCAGGGCCAGUGAGUGAGGGUGAGGAUGACACAGACCAGGCAGCACCAGGUAGAGCAACGGUCGAGCACCAGGAGGCACCAGGGAGAGCACAGGCCGCUGACCAGCUAGCACCACAGACCGCUGACCAGCUAGCACCACAGGCCGCUGACCAGCUAGCACCACAGACCGCUGACCAGCUAGCACCACAGGCCGCUGACCAGCUAGCACCACAGGCCGCUGACCAGCUAGCACCACAGGCCGAGGAGCAGGCAGCAGGAAAGAGCAGGAGAAAGACAGGACGAGGCAGAGACCAGACUCGUGAUGCUCUUGAUGCGGAGAGGCUCAUCACAGCUAUAGAGGCUGUUAGCAAUCGAGUAGUGAGUCAGAGUCCUCCAGAGGACUCUGACUCACUAUUCUUUCGAAGCCUCCAAGAGGAUUUCAAAAAGCUGUCUCUUAAGACUAGAGAGGGUCUAAAGUUCGAAAUGUACAGCAGGGCUAUUCAACCUCCUUAACAAGUGGGCCGAAAAAGAAAACCACUGGGGGUUCAUGGGCCACACAGAGUAAAACUACGUGAAUGAAUCGCUACAAAUAAAUCGUACAUAAAGUAGUGUUAUCUUAAUAUAUAUAAUACUACUACAUGGAAUAAACUUGUCAGACGCAUUCCUUCCUUCUUCACUUUUAAUCGUAUCAUUAUAAAAGAUUUUGUUCUCACGUAUUUUGGCCACGUAUUUAGAAUUCAACAAUGUUGUUUGAAUCAUCACAAAACAGAACUACUGUACAUAUGAGACAUUUUGAGCCAGUGAGUCAGUGAGAAAGAUUGCCUUGUUUGCCUAGUUUGGCUCAUCCUGAGACACUCAUGCAGCUUCUCAUAGGUCAUGGAGCAACGUGCCCUUAUUCUGAUGGCAUUCAUAUGAGAAAACCUAGACUCACACGUAUCGGUUGUGCCAAACAUUGUCAGAAUAAGUGAUGCCAGCUCCUGAUUGUGGGGUAAUGAUACUGGCUAGUAUCACCGGCUACACACAGAAACCUGAUUUGGAUGCAACUAUGUUUCUCCUUUAUUUUAUUUAUUUUUUGCAUGCAACCUCUUGCGGGCCAGGAAAAAAGUAAGAGGGGCCGCAUUUGGCCCACGGGCCGCUAGUUGAAUAGGCCUGAUGUACAGGAUGGUGUACGAGGCCAAGUGUCGUGAGGUUGACACGUGGGAUGAGGGGAACAGGGUGCAGCUGACAACAUUGUGAGGGGUGUAAUAGUAAGCUUAUUACCCUCGCAGUGCUGUCAGCUGCACC
ensembl:lncRNA